rnacentral:lncRNA from 1 species
GAAGAGGGCCAAGUGGGAGACUUGAGAGAUUCAAGUGCCUGGUUUGACCUUUUGAUACAGGACAGCUGGGCUCCAGGCUAAACCUCACCCUUAAGCCUGGAACUGCAGCCCUAAGUGAAAAAAGCUGACCCUUGUUUUUCUACCCAAAUGUUUACUUUUAGGCCUGCCAUGCCCCUAUCCUGUGCCCAUAAAAAGACUUCAACUGGCAGAGCAACACAAGUGUCUGAGUGUCAAACAGAGAAGCAACUGAGCCAUGGAGACUCUGGAUAGACGCAGCUAACCUCAGGUGGUGCAGGUCAGGGAAAGAUCACCUUCCUGCAUCAUCCGCUUUCCACCUCCUAUCCCGCUGAGAGCCACUUCUACCACCAAAUAAAGUACUCCGUAUACACUACCUUUCAAUCCAUUUGCGUGACCUGAUUCUUCCUGGACACCGGACAAGAACCCAAGUGCUGAGAGGGCAGGGGCUUGGAUGUUGCUGCGUGGCCUGCACAGAGCCUGCUCCUGCCAGAGACGAGCAAUCAGCCAGUUCCAGCAUUCCUUCCCUCCGGUUCCUUCACUCCCUUGCCCACCCCCUCUCACGAGGAUUGGCCAGCAGUGGGCCCAGUGGAAGGAGCCACUCCAGUUCCUGCCCACGAAGAGGGUCAAGAUCCAUCUGACUUCUGCACUGGCUACCCUGAGGAUGUAAUAAGAAUGGCCACUUGGCGAGUACUGUUGCUCACACCUGUAAUCCCAGCACUUUGGGAGGCCAAGCUGGGAGGAUUGCUUGAGCCCAGAAGUUUGAGAUCACCGUGGACAACAUAGCAAGAACUCAUGUCUACAAAAAAUUAGCUGGGCAUGGUGGUGUGCACCUGUGGUCCCAGCCACUUGGGAAGCUAAGGUGGGCUAUUGCUUACGCUUGGGAGGUGGAGGUAGUGAGCCAUGAUCAUGCCAUUGCACUUCAGCCUGGGCAACAGAGCGAGACUCUAUUUCAAAUAAACAAACAAAACAAAAUGAUUACUUGUAGAAGAGUCUAUUCAUUAUUUCCCAGUGUGUGUCCUUCUCUUAUUCCAUAAUAAUAGAACCCUGGUUUGCAACUUGACAUAGGGCCAGCCUCACUUAUUACUACUUAAGAGUGGCCACUUACUACUAAUCCUGGCUGAUGAGUUGUAAGUGAAAUAAUUGUGUGCUUACAUUUAAGAGUGUGUAGGCUGGGCGGGGUUGCUCAUUGCCCGUAAUACCAGCACUUUGGGAGGCCAAGAUGGGAGGAUUACUUGAGGUCAGUAGUGCAAGACCAGCCUGGCCAACAUGGUGAAACCACUUUAAAAGUUGCAAAAAUUAGCUAGGCAUGGUGGUGCACGCCUGUAGUCCCAACUACUUAGGAG